CAGGGCUGAGCCCUGGAGCCAGGAGAGGGCCACCAGCCAUUUUUGGGAGCCACACGAGUCCUCCUGGACCUGGACUGUUCAAUUGGCAGUGGUAGUUGGGAGGAGAGACACCAGCAACCCCUCACUCAGAUCGUGAUGUCCCCCAGCGCCCCCCAGGUCUCCCCAUUACUGCGGAAGUGGGAGGAGCAAUGCAAGACCGUCAAGCAGCCACGGGCUGACACUCCUCACAGACCAAUUCACCCCCCUCCCCUGCUCCUGCGCUUCCCAAUUUUCUUAAAAUUAAACUUAAAAAAAAGUUACAAAACACACUUGUUAUUUUAAAAAUCCGAACAGUAGGGACGUAUAUACAGUAAAUGUUGAAAAACCUC
rnacentral:lncRNA from 10 species